rnacentral:rRNA from 1 species
CCCUUAGAUGUUCUGGGCCGCACGCGUGCUACACUGAGUGGAUCAGCGGGUCAGGUUGCGCGAAAGCGUUUCCUAAUCUUUAAAUCCGCUCGUGAUGGGGAUUGACGGUUGCAAUUUUCUGUCAUGAACGAGGAAUACCUUGUAAGCGCGGGUCAUCAUCCCGCGCUGAAUACGUCCCUGCCCUUUGUACACACCGCCCGUCGCACCUACCGAUUGAAUGACUCGGUGAAAAAUUGGGACUGUGAUUGAAAUUGCUUCAUUGCGAAUUUAAUUAUGGAAACUUUCUUUAACCUAGGCAUUUAGAGGAAGGUGAAGUCGUAACA